rnacentral:rRNA from 1 species
ACGAACGCUGGCGGCGUGCUUAACACAUGCCAGUCGCACGGAAAGGCCCUGCUUUUGUGGGGUGCUCGAGUGGCGAACGGGUGAGUAACACGUGAGUAACCUGCCCUUGACUUUGGGAUAACUUCAGGAAACUGGGGCUAAUACCGGAUAGGAGCUCCUGCUGCAUGGUGGGGGUUGGAAAGUUUCGGCGGUUGGGGAUGGACUCGCGGCUUAUCAGCUUGUUGGUGGGGUAGUGGCUUACCAAGGCUUUGACGGAUAGCCGGCCUGAGAGGGUGACCGGCCACAUUGGGACUGAGAUACGGCCCAGACUCCUACGGGAGGCAGCAGUGGGGAAUAUUGCACAAUGGGCGGAAGCCUGAUGCAGCAACGCCGCGUGCGGGAUGACGGCCUUCGGGUUGUAAACCGCCUUCGCCUGUGACGAAGCGUGAGUGACGGUAAUGGGUAAAGAAGCACCGGCUAACUACGUG